AAAAAAAGACCUCCUUCCCCUCACAUUCGUUUUUCGCUUCUUUCUGUCUCCCCGACACUCUUCACUUUUCCUCUUCACCUUCGUUUUCUUCCUCCUCACUCAUCACCUUAGUCUCCUCGCCGCCGGAGAUCAUCGUCGAACCUCUUUAUCGGCGGCUGCUUAGUUGUUCUUUGUUGUUGUGGUGUUGAUUUUUACAGUAGCUUCUCUCUCCUCAUCUCUUGUCUUUGCACUCUCUCUCGCCUCCAGUCUGCACCACCGCCGUCAAUGGUGGUCGUAAAUCCUUCAUCAACUGUAAUCAAUUAUCAAUUGGUAAACUCUUUAACCCAUUCCACAAAUCAAUGAUAUUGUAAAUUAAAUUUCCCAAUUGACCAAACCCUAACUUUCUCUACUUAGAUUCUUUAUCUCCUAUUGUUCGGUGCACCACUUCCUCUGUCGUCGGAGCCGUGUUGUGGUGGUGGUGAUGCCCACCUUGUGGGUUGUUCGUUGACUUGUCGUUGUGGCUCUACUCUACCCAUGUUGUCCCCUGCCUCGUCUCUUCUGGAGCUUUAUGGGUUGCCGUAGUUGCAGUUGCUUUUGGUGUUGUCGAUUGCGUGUUGGUUAUCUCUCCCAUGUCCUCUUUAUUCCUCCAUUUAAUUUAAUGGUGAAUCAUGUCCCAACAGCAAGUCAUCGAAUUCGACUAUAUGGCUGAUGAGCAGGAUGUGGCAGAAUUCAUUGAUGUUAUUGUGAGUUCUUUUUGGGAAAUGGGAUAUUGAAUAUUUACUUAUUUUGGUGUGAUUAGGAACGUAAGUCAAAAGAGAAAGGUGGAAGUUACUAUGAGUUCUUUUACCAUUCAAGACUGGUCAAGGGUAUUCAAUAAUCUGAGGGAGCGGCCUUUCACCUUUGAAGAGAUAGAUGAAGUUCAAGAAAUGUUGUCAAAUUUCAUUACCAGUGAUUGUCUUUGAUAUUUUCUUGUACUGAAUCUUAAAUUAUGGAGGCAAGUUUUUCAUAUGAUUGUAAUGUAAUCGACUUUUAUAUUUACAGUUAUAUACUAUUUAAUUUAAUUAUCUAUAUAAGUGUAUACUUUUUA